GACGAACGCUGGCGGCGUGCUUAACACAUGCAAGUCGAACGCUGAAGCUCAGCUUUUGUUGGGUGGAUGAGUGGCGAACGGGUGAGUAACACGUGAGUAACCUGCCCCCUUCUUUGGGAUAACGCCCGGAAACGGGUGCUAAUACUGGAUAUUCACUGGUCUUCGCAUGGGGGUUGGUGGAAAGGGUUUUUCUGGUGGGGGAUGGGCUCGCGGCCUAUCAGCUUGUUGGUGGGGUGAUGGCCUACCAAGGCUUUGACGGGUAGCCGGCCUGAGAGGGUGACCGGUCACAUUGGGACUGAGAUACGGCCCAGACUCCUACGGGAGGCAGCAGUGGGGAAUAUUGCACAAUGGGAGCAAGCCUGAUGCAGCGACGCCGCGUGAGGGAUGGAGGCCUUCGGGUUGUGAACCUCUUUCGCUCAUGGUCAAGCCGCAACAAUGGUUGUGGUGAGGGUAGUGGGUAAAGAAGCGCCGGCUAACUACGUG
rnacentral:rRNA from 1 species